UUUUGAAUUGCUUUAAAGUUGAAAUUGAAUUGCUUCAGUUCAGCCUUGACGCGCGCCUCCACUCUUCCAUUCUUCCUUCAGCUACCUCCGAUCCCGCACCAGUCACCACCUCCAGCCACGCCGCCGCGCCGCGCCUCCCCCCUCCGGCGCAUCCAAUCCAAUCUGUCUCCCACCAGGCAACCACGUCGCUUCCCACCUGAGCCCAGCGCCAUCGCGCCCCAACUCCUCUCCAUCUCCCACCGCCGCGCCUCUUCCCACCUGAACUGAGCGGCUAUCGCCGCCGUCAGCUGCUUCUAGUCCGCCGCAAUUGCCUCUCACUCCCUCUACUCCGGUGUUAAAGAUGGAGGACUCAUCUCCAAGUGUUGAUAUGGAGAGUGGUGAAGAAGAUGUCAAAAUUCUUGAAGAUGGAAAGCCUAAGAAUAUCUUAUAUUUUUGUAUUUCAUGCUUUGUUAUAUAAUUUAUAUCUAUGUAUAUUUUGUACAUUAUAUAUUAGAUCAUUAAGAAUAAUAAAAUACAAAUGAUAAUUUUAUUUUUA